rnacentral:tRNA from 1 species
GCGCCAGUAGCUUAGCACGCGAUCUCCAUCUCGUCCUUGCCAAGCGAGGUGCCCCGGAGAUUACAUCGGAUAAAGCACUUGCUUCACGAGCAAACAACCGUUGGUUCGAUUCCAACCUGGCGCACCA